UACAUGGGGUGCAAACGUUGCUCGGAAUUAUUGGGCGUAAAGGGUGCGUAGGCGGUUUGACAAGUCUGAUGUGAAAUCUAUGGGCUCAACCCAUAGUCUGCAUUAGAAACUGUCGGGCUUGAGUAUGGGAGAGGUGAGUGGAAUUUCCGGUGGAGCGGUGAAAUGCGUUGAGAUCGGAAGGAACGCCCGUGGCGAAAGCGAGCCCCUGGACGUCUACUGACGCUGAGACGCGAAAGCCAGGGGAGCGAACGGG
rnacentral:rRNA from 1 species